CCAUGAAGAUUGAGACAAAUCUCAACAAUUUGAAACUGAUUCACCAGGUUCUACCACUACAGGAUUGGGGAUUUCAUGCAUGGAAUCUGUAAGGCAGGCUUUUACCAGUAGCUGGAGCAGGUGGUGGACGGCAGAUGCACCGGUGGCUAGGGCAGGCAGUGGACAGCAGAUGCACCCGUGGCUUGGGCAGGCAGUGGACAACAGAUGCACCAGUGGCUGGGGCAGGCAGUGGACGGCAGAUGCAAUAGGUUUGCUUUGGCCAACAGAGUUUGGAGUGAGAAUAAG
rnacentral:lncRNA from 1 species